UACGUAGGGUGCGAGCGUUAAUCGGAAUUACUGGGCGUAAAGCGUGCGUAGACGGUUAUGUAAGUCGGGUGUGAAAGCCCCCGGGCUCAACCUGGGAAUUGCAUUCGAGACUGCGUAGCUAGGGUGCGGAAGAGGGAAGCGGAAUUUCCGGUGUAGCGGUGAAAUGCGUAGAUAUCGGAAGGAACACCAGUGGCGAAAGCGGCUUCCUGGUCCAGCACCGACGUUCAGGCACGAAAGCGUGGGGAGCAAACAGG
rnacentral:rRNA from 1 species